rfam:Nannochloropsis gaditana strain B-31 chromosome 18, whole genome shotgun sequence.
GCGCGCCUGGUCUAGUUGGUUAUGACACGUCCUUCACACGGACGGGGUCGGCGGUUCGAUUCCGCCGGUGCGUA